CCCGUGCUUGGUCUUAAACAUGCUCCCUUCCCUUCUGAUCUUCUGGAUUCUACUGAUACAAGAUUGAUGUUGACAUCCAGUAGUCUCUGGCCCUUGGUCUCCUACAAACACUUGGGCAAAAUGUCAGAGCCUCUCCAGGAGGAUUAUUGCAAAGUGUUUGAAUAUUUUCCAUGGCAACUUAUGGAUACAAGAAAUCAUGAAAGAAGUUACCAAAAGGGCAGGACUUCAAGUUGGCAUGUGCUGAGACACCCACACGACGAAGCCCAGGGGAUGCUGGGCAGCCAAAGCUUGGAAUCAUGCAUGGGCCUCACUUGGUGUGUAAGUGUUAGAAAAGGGGAGGUGAGCCAA